ACUCUUCCGUGACGUUCUAGUAUGUAAUCAGAAAAUACGAUCAGGACAGGGAACCGCCGUGCAAAUCGGGGACGGGCCCGCCGCUGUGACCGGUGACGAUAUUCGCAUUGUGCCACUGCCCGUAGAGAGCUGCGGGCGGGAAGGCGUGAAUGGAGGAUGAACCGGGAGUCAGAAUACCUGCCGGAUCGGAUGGCGCGCU
rnacentral:ncRNA from 2 species